AGCAUAUAAAGGUUUUCAACACUCUCCCAAUAGUCCUUGGAAUACGAUAUGAUUUAUUUCAGUAGAGAUGAUUGGUACAAAUUCUUCUUUAUAUGCAUAUAUAUUUCAAAUUUUAUUUUUAAUGAAGGUAAGAUUUAUAUAUAUUUUUUCUUCAAUAUAUCAGAUUCUUGAAAGUGAAGUAACAUGAAUGAUCUUCAUGGGACAUGAGUUGAUGAAGGCAAGAAUAGAAAGUUCAAGGUUGUGCUGUGGAAAUUUUAGUAGUUACCUUUUCAUGUUUUUUCUUCUCUAGUUCCAAUGGUUUUGGAACCACCUUAUGUAAUGUAAAACACUAAAUGACAACAAUGUUAUACUUUUAACAAGUUGUGUUGGGUUUUAUACUUUCGUUUUAUCUCUGGG
rnacentral:lncRNA from 1 species